rnacentral:rRNA from 1 species
GAUGAACGCUGGCGGCGUGCCUAAUACAUGCAAGUCGAGCGAACAGACGAGGAGCUUGCUCCUCUGACGUUAGCGGCGGACGGGUGAGUAACACGUGGAUAACCUACCUAUAAGACUGGGAUAACUUCGGGAAACCGGAGCUAAUACCGGAUAAUAUAUUGAACCGCAUGGUUCAAUAGUGAAAGACGGUUUUGCUGUCACUUAUAGAUGGAUCCGCGCCGCAUUAGCUAGUUGGUAAGGUAAAGGCUUACCAAGGCGACGAUGCGUAGCCGACCUGAGAGGGUGAUCGGCCACACUGGAACUGAGACACGGUCCAGACUCCUACGGGAGGCAGCAGUAGGGAAUCGUCCGCAAUGGGCGAAAGCCUGACGGAGCAACGCCGCGUGAGUGAUGAAGGUCUUCGGAUCGUAAAACUCUGUUAUUAGGGAAGAACAAAUGUGUAAGUAACUAUGCACGUCUUGACGGUACCUAAUCAGAAAGCCACGGCUAACUACGUG